CUCGGGCAGUUCUACCGGUACAGUGCCGGCGAUUGAUGAAGAAGUGUAUGAAGAAGAAGAAAUUGAUGAAACUGUUGCUAUUGCUAAGAAUGUCGAUAACUUCGAUAUUAACCAGUCUGACUUUAAUAGAAACCAGGAUGCAGAAACCAACAAUGGGACCGUCUCCAAAAGUGAUUUGGAGGCCACGACCCACCAUAAAGAUGAAGAAGAGCCAUCAACAGAGGAAAGUCGAGAUGUAGCUUUGAAAGACACAAGAAUUGAAAGAUACAUUGGCCUUUUUCACAGGAAAUUUAUUCCUGGUCAUUUUUUUGCUGCGAUAUCUGAUGAUUUAGAAAGCGAUACCUUUACCAAAACAUAUUUGGACAAAACUUAUGGAGAUCUCUUUUCUGUGUUUUUUAUUAAUGCUAAUGAUUUUGUUAACAAAACUUAUAAAAAGAUAAAUACUGCUCCUGUUUUGCUUUAAAAAAAAUGGGAUAUUAUUGGAUUAGCAGAAACAUGGCUUAAAGAGACAAAAACUCCUAAACGUAUACUUAGGCCUGGUUUUGAAUUUAUUUUCAAAAACCGAGAAGGAAAAAAAGGUGGAGGAGUUGGUCUUUAUGUGCGUGAGGGCAUCCAUUUUAAGCGACGGGAUGACUUGAUAAUACAAGUAGAUGGGUGUCCAACACCAUGUGAUUUCCUUUUCAUUGAAAUUCUCUGCUCAAUUGGUAAAAAUAUUGUCGUUGGUGUUGUUUACGUUCCUACAUCUAUAGCUAAAAAAAACAAAGAAUUGAAUCGUAAAUUUUUAAUAUCUUUUGAAAACAUCCUUUCAAUGAUAAACAAGGAAAACAAAAUCUCUUAUAUAAUGGGGGACUUCAAUAUCGAUCUUUCCGGCGUGCAUUACACCAUUGAAAAUUUUAAGAAAACUAUCUCCAAUAACGACCAUUAUCCUAUGAUCAAUGAACCAACUCAUGUAACUGGCACGGAUGAAACGAUAAUAGACAACAUCAUCACAAACGCAAACUACAUGUAUAAAACCAUUGAAACUACAGGAGGGAUUCUGAAAAGUGAUGUUUCUGACCAUUAUCCAAUAUUCAUGUUCUCUUCUACUCCGAUAACAAACACUGGUUGGUAGAACUCGUCAGCCUUGGACGGUGUAAUGUAGUGAGCUUGUCACUAGCACAUGGAUAGUAGUUGUUGCUUCGAUGCUUGCUUGGUUUAUUGUG